rnacentral:rRNA from 1 species
UCGAGCGAGAAGCCCGCAAGGGUGAGUAAAGCGGCGCACGGGUGAGUAACACGUGGGUAAUCUGCCCUGGAGUCCGGAAUAACUCGCCGAAAGGCGUGCUAAUGCCGGAUAAGACCACGGGAGCCUCGGCUCUUGUGAGAAAAGGUGGCCUCUGUACACAAGCUAUCGCCCCAGGAUGAGCCCGCGUCCCAUCAGCUAGUUGGCGGGGUAAUGGCCCACCAAGGCUACGACGGGUAGCUGGUCUGAGAGGACGAUCAGCCACACUGGAACUGAGACACGGUCCAGACUCCUACGGGAGGCAGCAGUGGGGAAUCUUGCGCAAUGGGCGAAAGCCUGACGCAGCAACGCCGCGUGUGUGAUGAAGGUCUUCGGAUCGUAAAGCACUGUCGCGAGGGACGAAUAAGGCCCUGGCCAAUACCUGGGGUUGAUGACGGUACCUCGAGAGGAAGCACCGGCUAACUCUGUGCCAGCAGCCGCGGUAAUACAGAGGGUGCUAGCGUUGUUCGGAAUUAUUGGGCGUAAAGCGCGUGUAGGCGGUUCACCAAGUUGGGUGUGAAAGCCCUCGGCUUAACCGAGGAAGUGCGCCCAAAACUAGUGAACUCGAGUACCGGAGAGGGUGGCGGAAUUCCCGGUGUAGAGGUGAAAUUCGUAGAUAUCGGGAGGAACACC